rnacentral:rRNA from 1 species
GAUGAACGCUAGCGGCAGGCCUAAUACAUGCAAGUCGGACGGGAUCCAUCGGUAGCUUGCUACCGAUGGUGAGAGUGGCGCACGGGUGCGUAACGCGUGAGCAACCUGCCCAUAUCAGGGGGAUAGCCCGGAGAAAUCCGGAUUAACACCGCAUGACACUGCUUUCCGGCAUCGGGAGGCGGUCAAAUAUUCAUAGGAUAUGGAUGGGCUCGCGUGACAUUAGCUAGUUGGUGGGGUAACGGCCCACCAAGGCGACGAUGUCUAGGGGCUCUGAGAGGAGAAUCCCCCACACUGGUACUGAGACACGGACCAGACUCCUACGGGAGGCAGCAGUAAGGAAUAUUGGUCAAUGGGGGCAACCCUGAACCAGCCAUGCCGCGUGCAGGACGACUGCCCUAUGGGUUGUAAACUGCUUUUGUUAGGGAAUAAACCCCGCUACGUGUAGCGGGCUGAAUGUACCUAAAGAAUAAGGAUCGGCUAACUCCGUGCCAGCCGCCGCCGCGG